CACGUAGGGCGCAAGCGUUGUCCGGAAUCACUGGGCGUAAAGGGCGCGUAGGCGGCCACUGCAAGUCGGUUGUGAAAUCUCCGGGCUUAACCCGGAAAGGUCAAUCGAUACUGCAGGGCUAGAGUGCAGAAGGGGCAACUGGAAUUCUCGGUGUAGCGGUGAAAUGCGUAGAUAUCGAGAGGAACACCUGCGGCGAAGGCGGGUUGCUGGGCUGACACUGACGCUGACAGCGCGAAAGCUAGGGGAGCGAAGCGGG
rnacentral:rRNA from 1 species